rnacentral:rRNA from 1 species
GACGAACGCUGGCGGCGUGCUUAACACAUGCAAGUCGAACGGAAAGGCCCUGCUUUUUUCUGGUGCUCGAGUUGCUAACGUGUGAGUAACACAUGAGUAACCUGCCCUUGACUUUGGGAUGACUUCAGGAAACUGGGGAUAAUACCUAAUACGUGCUCCUGCAUCUUGGUAUGGUUUGGAAAUUUUCGGCGGGUGGGAGUGGACUCGCGGCUUAUCAGCUUGUUGGUGGGGUAGUGGCUUACCCAGGCUUUGACGGGUAGCCGGCAUGAGAGGGUGAACGGGCACAUUGGGCCUGAGGGAGGGACCAGAGGGAAACGGGCGGCAGUGGUGGAGAACAUUGCACAAUGGGCCGAAGCGUGAUGCAGCGACGUCGGGUUCGGGAUGACGGUUAAGGGGUUGGAAAGGGCUUUAGGCUAAGACGAAGCGGGAGUGACGGUAAUGGGUAAAGAAGCAACGGCUAACUACGUG